CUGGUUUCCAUUUUUAAAACGGGUUUGAUGUCGAUGUUAACCUCUUUAAGACUUAUUAUUUUCGUUAUUGUGUCAAGUUCUUGAAGGGAGCCUCAGUCUGGCGAAUAUGCGGAUGAGUUUUCCAUUCGCACACUGGGCGGUGCGCAGUCGAUGAACUGUUUAAAGUUUCUGUGCUUUAAAAGUUUCAUAAAAAAUACAAAGUAAAUGCUGAUAUCCUCAAACCUGAUUCAUAAAAACAGUGAGAUAUUAUUAUGGAAUCAAAAUUACAGGAUAUUCGUGGGAAACCGUUGUCAAAUGUUGAUUGGAGUUCAUUUGUCUGCUUCCGGUGUUGCUGUUUGGCGGAAAUGUCUUGGAAACUACAAGGAUUUUUGGACUAAUCUGAGAGUCAUCGAAUCUUCACAUUGAAACAAAACAGACUGGUAAAGAAAGAACAGGACGGUGCUGUCAAGGAUGGUGGACUGUGUUACACACAAAGUCGGUGAGUUGAAGAUUAUUUCUCCAUAAUCCACGGCCUGUUGAGCAGGACUUUGUCCAAAAACCACUCGACUUUAAUGAAGCGGUGAUUAACCUGUUGGCAUCCCGGAGAAGUCCUCUGUGUGAGAUUAUUUUUAAAUAAUGUAGGACAUAAAGUUGUUGUCUGUUUGACUGCCUGAAACUAUGUAGCACACCCUGAUGUCAGUUAGCAUUGCAAUAGGGGAGAGUGGGGUAAGUUUAGCCAAAGGGUAAGUUGAGCCACCCCCUGUUGCUUGGAAAUGGUAUAUGAAAUUGAUCAUGUGACCAAAUAUUUAGGAGAUGGGCAAUCAAUUUAUGGAGUCUGUGAAGGUUUGAAGCACAUGGGUGAAGGGGUUAGACUUUUAUUUACAAAAAAACAUUUUUCACUCUUGAAAGUGAAUUUAGUCUGUCGUAGGUUUGAUUAGAAUUGUGUUCAGACCAAAAAUGAUCAUUUUAAAUUUGUUUUAUACAUCAAUUGUGGUAUCUAUGAGCUACAACAUGAGGUCGAAAACCUAGCAUAAAAGUCCAUUAUUUUAGCUUAGAUGACUAAUAAAGUCAUAAUAGUAGUUCUGGGGUAAGUUGAGCCAGUGGCUCAACUGAGAAAGUAAAGGAGUCUGAUGAGAAGAUCAGAGUUUCAGUUCAGAUUGUUGAAAUGUUUUACUUUUUCUUUUCAAAAAUACAGCUGUGAAUGUUCUGAAUCACUUAAAGACAUUCUCAUGUGAAAAUGACUUUUUACAAAACAGCUUUUUAGCAGUUAUAUGCAAUAAUAAUAAAAAUAAUUAUUGUACCAGUUGAGUAGUGUAAAAUAGAUAAAAAUACACAUGAAUGUGAAGAAAUGACUGUUAUUUAGGGAGAGAGAAGGUGAGGGAGGGCUGGGGUGGGGGGGGGGGGUUCUAUAUUAUCAAUACAUUUAUGUUUACAUUCAUUCUGUUGGUUUGCAGGGAUGAACAACAUCUUGAAAUAUAUGCAGAUACACGAGUUACAGACAAAACUAUGAUUGCCUUGAUGUAGUGAUCCGAAAUAUGAAAAAUGGCUCAUCUUACCCCAUUCUCCCCUAUAAGGUGACUGCUUUGGUUUGGGGAGUUUAAUCACUGUUGUUUAGAUUUGUAUGGCCCCUUUGUGGAGUACAAUAAAGUUCUAGAAUAAAAUUCUGGUAGAAUCAGCCCUGGUUGUUUGGCUUUAACAGCUGUUGUUUCUUGUUUUGAGACAUAGCAGAGUUCACAGCUAAUUCUAGGUUCCUCUCAUGUCCUCACAGUGCGGUCUCUAAGCUUUAUUGUCUGUAUAAAUAAUGCUGUUUUUUGACCUGAUUUAUAAUUUUCUGUUGAUCUCGUUGAAACAUAAUCCCAUUGUUUGAUAUUUGACCUGUGGCACAAAUCGAUAGCUUCUACCUGUGGGCAUAGAGGAAGAAACAGCAGCCCUCACGAUAAAGUAAGAAGGUUUAAGAUUCAAUGUGGCAGCUUUGUGCUCAGGCUAUCUCAUCAAAGAUAAAGAACAGUCUGAGGGAAGUGUUUUAUAUUGCAUUACAAGCGGAUUUUUUCAGUGACAAGCAAACUAUUCUUUUAUCUGUGACUAACUGUUUAUACAAGCGUGGCCUUGACUUGCUCAUGAACACUACCGAGCAUCUAUUAUCUGCUUAAAACCGAUCAGACGCUAUUCUAUCUUAUGCUUAUAUUUAUCUCAUCAUCCGGGAUGCUCAAAAAAGCAAAAUCCACAACCCUUUAGGACACGAAAAAGGUGACUUUUCAGAGAUUAUCAUAACAACUUUAUCUGCAGGGAGAGAAGCAGCAACCUCCCAGCAAGAGGCUUCUUUUUGUCCUUCACCCCACUUACUUUUUAUUACCCAAUAAGCUCACUCUUAUGGCCUCUGCGUCUAUGGGUAGAAUCAUUAUUUCUUGACUUGGAGUAAAAACCUCCACUGUAGGAUGCAGUAUCUACCUACCAAAGUCAUUGAAUAGUGAUUGAAACUGGUGACCUUUCUGUUACAAUCUCACCCCCCAGCAAAUCAGGUCCCAACAGGGUGAUAUUGUAAUGUAGAUCUCAUUUAACCUCUGUGCUUUUUCUUAGUUAUAGGCUGUUCAACUGUGCUUCAAUCUGUAAAUCCACCGUUACAUUCUCUAAUAACUUCUCGCUUUUAGAGAGCAACAAACCCUUCCUUUAGCUUCACUUGUAACCACUGCAGUGAUUUGUUGCUUUGUACCAGCUUGACUUGCUCUGAGGAAAAAUUUCCGCUGAGUUUAGGGGUUGGUUGUUGUCUUCUCCACAGAAAAGAAAAUCUAAGUUUUAAACCUUUUGAGUCUUUAAGUGGUGAUAGAAUAACAGGGAAAGUUGGCAAAUCCUAAGACAGAUCUGUCUGCCUCUAAGUUUUCAACAAUUCCUUUUUUUUUCAAUGAAACCAGUUCAAACAUUCAAAAAUAUACUGAUAAAAGUAUAAGUCCUAUUCAAGUAAGGUUGACAAACAAAAUGAACUAAUUUCAUAGAAAAUGUAUGAAUUCUCCCACCAAAUAGACGCUUUAACAAAUCAGUCACACUUAAAUUUUGCAGCUAAUUAAAAACUGGUUUUAAUGACUGUUCCACAAAAAUUUCAACUAAAAUAAUAGUUUUGUUUCAGGGGCUCUCAGCGUGGGGGCUUGGGUCCCCCGGGCAAAAGUUAAUUCCUAUGUGUUAUGAAGGGCCUGUGCCCACUGACAGCAUUAUUUUCUAUGGUAGGGCCUAUGUCCUUUAUUUUAGAAUGUUUAACACUACAAGUGCUGAGGUGAAAUUUCACCAGAGGCACCUGGUUCAUUGGCAAGGUCAACGAGUUCUGAACACAGACUGUGUAUAGAAUGAACAGCGUCUGCCUCCUCACUGGGUGAAGCCACCCCGAGAACAGCACCCUCUGGUGACAGGCUGCAGUAUAGGUUAUAAGUCCUGCCUCUGCCAGCCAUCCUUAUGGAGCUGUGGAUGAAGUUUAGAAAUUGUUGACAAGUAGUUACUGUAAGACUGGUUUGUGCUCAAGUCCUCUUUUCUCUGUUCAGCUCUAUUUUUAAAAGUUAUUAGGGGGUUCAUGUUUUCUAUGAUUGACACCUGAUACGGUCUAUGGGUGUACGAAGAUUGCAUAGCUCACCUGUGGGAUACACUGUUUGAGCUGAUUGCGUAGCCCACCUGUGGGAUACACUGUUUGAGUCUCACAACGCUACUGAGCAAUGUUGGUUUCAGGAAGUGGAGAAAAAAACGCAAAAUUCCUGAGAGUCUAUGGUUCUGAAUCAUACUGGCUAUUUGCCCCAGUGAGAACCAUACUUCUUCUUUUCUUUCUUUUUUCUUUCUUUAUUUGAACAUGAUAAAAAUAAUGAUGAAGUAAAAAAACAAAACAAAAAACAAGGCUUUAUGAAAAGAAAAUAAUAAUAGUAAUAAUAAAUAAAAUAAAAAAAAUUAUAAAAUACUCAGCUCCAAGUGAUAAAAUAAUGUAGAAAAUUAUAAAAUGAUUGAAAAAAUAUGCCCCAAAAAUAUGAUUAUGUGUUUCCUCUUGUAUGAACUUAUGCAAUUGCUGUUGACAAAUUUGAUACCAGAAGUUCCACCCCUCCAUGAUUCUGAUUGGCCGGUGAUAGAGAGGAAAAUUUUUGGGGUGUGAUGGUGUUCCAAAAGCUGGAGUAUUUAAAAUGGGAGCGUCAUUACAGGCAUUGCUUAGGGUGCUUUAAUGCUUUGCACUCAAAUUACUGGUGCUGCAGAAAAAACUUCAAAAGUGCUCACAUGCCUUCAAAUGGGGGGGGAUUGGUUAAGACAUCAAACCAUUAAUAGAGUUAACCCAUGCCAAGCGUUUCAUGAAUGCCAAGUGCCAUUAAUGUUUAUCUAAAUCCCUUGUCCCUGUUCACCAUCGCUCUGGAUAGACGUCUGUUAGCUACCGCUGUAUCUUCUUCUUCUUGUGCUGUGUAUUCUCGCUUGUUUAUCUGUGUUGUUGCAACAGUUGCUAGAUUAUCAUAUGUUGUCCCCAGCAGCUUGCGUCUUCCUCCAGCCUUGUGUGUUGUUUUGAAGUUCUGAGAUGCUGAUAAGCUGCCAACCUGGCACCUCUGGCUACAUUUCAUUUGUUUUCCUCCUUUUCUUCCCCUCCCUUUUUCCCUCUCUUUCCUUCACCAGUGAUUCAUUUGUUUUUGCUGUAGAAAGAAAUGAGGGCAGGAGGAAGGCAUCUUCACAGGUGGCUGCUCUGGUAACAGGUGGUGGGGAUUAGAUUUUCACACCCUCUGUGUGUUUGUACGUGUGUGCAAAGUUAUUUCUCAGAGUGUGAUAAAAGAAUAUUGAAGAUCUAUGAUGUUGUCUCAGGUAGAGUUUGCUGCUGCCUUUAAAGCCCGCAAAGACAUUAGGUAUUCAAAGUGCAUUGCAAUUCCUGACGGUCACCUCUUCACCUGGUCAAUAUUUCCGUCUUUUCUUUUCUUAUCUCCUCUCUUUGCAUUUAGACUUGUGUUUCUUUUGAAAACAUACAACUGCAGUUUACUGUGUGUUCAUUUGCAAACUUAUCUGGAUUUAAAAUGAACCAAAUAGCUUUUUAAUCAAAAUGAGAGGAUGUUUUCUGCAAAUAGAUGCAUUGCUCAGUCCUGCUCUGAUAGCUGAAGCUGUGACCUCUCUCCCCUGCACAGGUUUUUUCUGAUGUUGCGUGUGUGUCUGGCAUUGAAACCUGCCUGAUCCUGCUGCUUAACUCAAGCAGAGACAGUUAAUAGGCUCUGUUGUAUCCUUGUAUCUGCGUGUGCCUGAAUGCUUGCAUGAAUCUUUUCAGCUCCAGCUUUCUGAAUCAUUGCCCAACAAAAGGACCUCUAGCACAGGCAGCUGUGACGUGCCUGUCCAAAACAAUUUGGGUCACACCCAGGAAAACAGAAAAAAAGGGUGCUCCAAGUCCCAUCUUGAGCGCCGAUGUGAUGUCUACAGAGAGUAUUAGGCGGAGCAGGAGAGGAAGAGUCAGAGCCACAAGAGUAAUCAAACGUCAAAGGAUGAAAAAGUCCAACCAGUGAUGUACUUCAUUUUAAAGCUGUAAGGCAAGCAAAGAGGGGAGAGGAAAGAAGCCUGAAGUCAGAACAAGUUUGAGAACUGAGAUGUUCUUACAAAGACAGAGAAAGGAUUUAAGAUGAAUAGUGGGAAAGAAAGUGGGUGGAUGACAGGUUAGAUGAUGAGACUUUUGGGGAAAAUGAGAAUAAACCACCGAAUGAGACCAGGCUGGAGAAAAAAAACAACCAGGGAAGUUGAAAAAUAUAACUUUAAGACCUAAAUUUGCCAGUGAAAUGGAUGUUCAGAGUCAGGCGGAGGAGAGAAAGAUUCCUUUACAGCUAAUGCAGAGUUUGGACAGUUGAUUUUUGCCACAUUUCAGAUUGGGUAAACAAAUACAUGUUUCAUUAUAUCUCUAAAGCUUAUAUGUUUUUUUCCCACCUAAAACAUGUUGUUUUGGAGAUGCAGAACUGUCACUGUUGACAGCCUCUGUAUGAGUUUGCGUUUCUUGAUGAGAUCAUCUAAAUUUAGCUUACCCUCAGGGGCAAUGUGCUUUGUACACGAUUUUAUUUUCAUUUCACUCAAAUGAGAUGAGUAUGCAGAAGAACAGGGAGGGCUGUUUAAUAAAAGCUGCUUAUAUAUCCAUUGUGGGCCUCUUAAAGUCAAUCAAAGGACAACAACUAUAUUUAAUUAAUGUAAUGUAUGCUGUAAUUUGCACUGCUUCAGCAAUAAAAUGCCCUUAAAUGACAAAACUGUGUAACAUACUGUGUUAAGUUGCAUUUCAACACAUCCGUUUUUUUUUCCAAAAAUGUUCAAAAAAAAAAUUUGUAAUAUAAUUCCAAGUAACAGAUUUUUCCUUCUUUUUCUGAGGGGACACAUGAACCACCACAACAGACAAAAUUUUGUAUACAUUCUUUAUAUACUGUCAUUUAUUGAUAACAGUGUAAAAACAAUGAAAGGUAAAAUUUCAUAAGUAUUGACACAAGUAAGAGCAACAUCAUUAAGUAUUGUCAAGGUCUUUUUGAAACAAACUCAGAAAAUUCAGAAAUGGUUUUAGGCUCAACUUACAGAAAAUUAAUUCUUAAUCAUCGUCAACAACUUGGGAGGUUUUUGUUGGAUAUUCUUAUAUGUAAUUCUUUGUUUUAUUUCAGAUUAAAAAUUUAAGCCAGGCCCUCCGUUAGUUAGGAAAAUAAGAGUCCCAAAAGGCUUAACCAUGCAGUGAUACUUGUCUGAUUGUAGAGACAUCGUCUGAUAUAUCUGUUAAUCCACAUUCACUCAGUCUCAACUUUUUUGACUCUGAAUUCAUCUCCCAUGAUUCCACAGUGUUCUGUGACAUUAUCAAACUCCUACUAGAAAGAAAAAACUCACCACGAGAUUUAAGCUGCAACACAUGAAGCUGGAUUUGAAAACGAAACAUGUAUGAUGUUCAGUUCAAAGAUGAAUGUGAAUGACAGAAUGAAGAUUAGAUUUUACAUUUAGAUAUGAAAUCUGCUUUCACUAUCCCUGCAAUCUGUUGAAACUCUGAGGGUAUAUUCAUGGAGUUUAAUUUCAGCUGAUGAACUGAGGAGAUUUUAUGAACCUGACUGAAGAUUUACAGGCUUAGUGAUGAAGUUCAACCAGACUGACUAUCUUUACUCGCUGCAUUCAUUCAGAUCUAUUUUGUCUACUACCUCAGUCAUCUCAGGGGAAGUUCACUCUUCAGCUGGCUGUUUAAAAACUGAUUUACCAAAACUAGCUAUUUAACUUCCUCCGUGUUUGAAAUCCUCUCAUUAAAUCCAUCCAGAUUUUCAACUGGGCUCACCGUCCUCACUGUUCUACUGCCCGCAGCGUCUGGACUCCAUUAGCGGGAUAUUCCCUCCAAGCCCCUCUUUCUAUUACUCUCACCUGGUUGGAGUCUAACUGUGAAGUGUGGAAACUCAACUGCACAGACUGAUCUGCAAAACUUCCCUUACAACAAGCUUCUCUGGGUAAACAGCAGAGGAAACUGGAUUUCAUGGCUCAGCUGUGUGCGGCAGGGCUCAGGUGUGAAUAAACAAAACCAAACAUUUCCUGCAUCCUGAGCGAGAGAUUUCUCUCCCCCCUCCUGAUGGUUCAACAGGAACAGAUCCUGUCAUAGACCUCCUGUUGGAAGCUACGCAAAGUCUCUGAAUGAACCUACAUUUCUUUGAGUAGGAUUUCCAUUUUGAGUUUUAGUUUGUAUUUAACAUUCAAGACAAGACAAGAGAGCGUUAGAUUUUUACAGAAGAAUCAGUUUCCUCCUAAGUAACUUACACACCGAGGGUUACGUGUUUGAUAGUCUGGAUGCCAAUCAUUUCACACACAAUCUAAUCAAUUCGUCUUGCUUAAAGGAUUGGUAUGUCAGGGUGAGCUUUGACUUGCAGAAACAGCCAGUUGAAUGGUAAACGCCUUCUCCGAGAAUAUUAAUACAUCUUCGAUCAGGCAUGCCAAGAAUGCAUCAGUUGGAUUUUCUGACUCUGUAUGAGGCAGAAAGCGCUCUUCAUGGAUUAUUUUGACCUGCACAAAAAAAAUGAAGAAGAGACAUGUGGUGAUAGAGUGAUAGACUAAGAGAAAGAGGGAAAAAGCCUCUUAAUUGGCAGUCUGACCCGCUCAGUGUCAGAUGUCUGAAAGGUUGCAGAGUGAUCAGUUGAGCUGAAAAAGAGACAGAUUGAGACUGACAGAAUUUGCAAAUAUGACUCACAAUUAAGGGAGUUGGUGGAGAUGUGAAAAGCAUUAUUUUGGUGGUAUCGAACCAGCUCUCUGUCACCUGUGGAAGAAUUUGUAUGCACAUCUUUCUACACAGCAUGUAACUGGAUUAUAUGAUUCCUCGCAAAGCAGAAGGGCUUGUAACAUUUAGUGCACUUCUACUUGUCAUCAAAGUUCAGAGAUAAUAAAAAGUAAAGGAUCAGUGGUUUUUAUAGUGUCGGGGGGUAAUUAGCUCUCAGGGCUGCAUCUAUCCUCUGAGAAAACCUCGAUAAGGGUAAUCUAUUUCCCUCCACUCUGCAGCAGCAGUGAGCCCACCGCUGUGGUCACUAACAGAAUUUCCCCUCUGCACCUGUAGGGAGAAGAGACCCCGUGUCGAAUCCAGGCAGGUAUGGCUGAUCGUGUCUCUACAGCUUUAUUUCGGAUCAUUCCCCGAACCAAAAAAUGAAGCAUUUUUGUGCAUUUGUCAAUCCACUCUGCCUUCGCACAAAAUAAAUAAAUAACAAAUGGAAACACUGACCUGUGUAGCCUGUGACUCACGGCUGGAGCAGUUCAAUGACCGGUGUUUAUCCUUCCCCAACAGCAAAAAAAUCCAGAUAGAGUUGUGAUUCAGAGAGAGACAAAACUGUGCCCACGUUUAUUUUAUUUUGUUAUUUUGCUCUGCUGGUCCUGCAGGCAUGAAAAAUAAAGAAUGAAUUAAAUGUUGUUUCUUUUUAGACAAGGUUGGCUAUUACUUUACAAGGACAACAAUGAAAGUGUCCUCCAGCUUUAAGCAGUAAAUAGUUUGUUAUAUUGGUGGAAAAAUGCACAUUUGGCGUGUUUUUAUCCUUCUUAUUUGUGCCGUUUAUGUUUGAGGACAUUUUUGGCUUCAAGGAGCGAUAACCUACUUCUUGAGUUACAGACAAAGUUUUGUGGCUUAGACUUCUUUUUUAAAGUUCACUUGUCAUUGUUUCAAAUCUAACUAACAGCCUGAUAAGCCAGAGUGGAGUAGGAGUUCAGAGAGGAGCAGACUCUAAACUCUGUGUGCAUGUGUUGUUUUAUAGUUUAGAGACUGUAUGUAGGAUGGACAACAUAAAUAUCAGUCUAGUUUGAAGCAGAAAACUGGCUGCAAUAUAUGUCGCAAAACUGCCUCCCUAACGUUAACAGAUAGGAGGAAGACCAAACUAUAGAAUAAAAAUCAAAUCAAAUCCUUUCUUCUCAAUUCAAAGUUUUAUAUUAUUCUAAGUAUGCUGUUUUAUGUCCAAAGGCUCAUUUUUCUUCGAUGUUUAAUUUAAAUGAGUUGUCUGGUUGAUAAAGACAGAAUCUUAUUUGAACAUUACUCGUCUUUUAAUCUCUUUCAUAAUUCAGACUCUGUUCACUCCAUUAAGAUAACACUUACUAGGUUCAUUAUACAAAACUUAUGGGGUCUCAAUUUGCUUGGUUAGCUGUCAAGUAUAACUGACAGCCUUUUCAGCACCACUACAGCAAUAUAAAGGAGCAAAUAGGAAGUUUUAAAAUGAAUCAAAACUACAUUUAACUCCUAUUUUCUUCUUUUUAUCCAGUUUUUGUCAUGUUACUUUCUUUGCGGCACACACUGGUAAGAGAAUCACUUCAUAGAAAAAGCAUAAAUGUUCAAAUAAAUGUAUUUAAUGGAAGAAAUUAAAACUUCACGAGUUAAGAUGAUGAACGUCCUGAUGAACUUAAGUGCCACAUAAAGGUGUUAAUUUGUGCAGAGGGUAAUAAGGGGAGCUUUUCUGCUGCAGAUACUCGCUCUGACACCAUGUCAACUAACUCACCCUGGGGUGAUGUUGUUUUCAGGUCCAAGUCCCCAUAGAGAAUCCCCACCUGAGCAUUGCUCUCCUUUAACUGCCCUCAUCCAGAAACCUUUGUCACCUUGCUUGUUGGCUCUUCACUGCUGCACAAGGGGGAGGCCCAGCAGGUUUUUUUUUUUUUUUUUUUUUUUUUUGGUGUGUGUGUGUGUGUGUAAUGCUGCAUUGCAGUGCAUCUCCCCUUCUGUUGUGUGCUCUCAAGCAGUGGGCUGCUGUAAGAAGAUAACCUCUCAGUGUCAUUGCUGCCGUAUAAGACUAAACCAAUUUCUUCUAGUCUAUGUCCCAUGCUUGUCUUGGAGUGCCUUGUGAGUCUUUCGAACCCUGAACACAACAUGAGCAGCUGAGUCUAGUUUUGUAAGAGUGUUUCUCUGCCUUCUUGAUUUAUGCCACUUAUCAGCUCUUUUAAUCACCUUUUACCUAUUCACUGCUAGCUUUCCUGUCCUCUGCCUCACUCUGUGAAUCUUGCAGGUCUUGUUAGAGGAUUAGAUAAUGUUAUACUCUUAGACAGACUUAUUUCUCUCUUCUGGUUGAUGUAAUUCUGUCUCCCUUUGAUGUUUACUUUGUGUGUCAGUGUCAGAGACUCUCUUCAGUAACUUUCACCAGACAUUUGAGCUGAAUUACUUGAUGUAUGACUAUCAGGGAGACCUUAAUCUGUUUUUGUAUUCUGUGUUCCUAACAUCAGAGGUUUAAUGGUUUUAUCUGCUUCAUUUCCAAAGAUCUAGAAGAUUUUAGAUUUCUUUUUUUGCAUAUAAAUAUAAAAGAUGUUGUUUGUUACUGUGGAUGCCUGGCUGUUUUGCACUUAGAGGUGAAGAUAUUUUGAUUUUAGUUGUGGAUGAGAUAACAAAAAUAAACAGUUGACCUCUGAAGCAUCAAUAGUCUGUCAAUGGGCAGUUUUCAGCACCAUGGACAGCUCCCCUCUAUACCUGACUUUUAAAGUUAAAUAACUCAAGGAGUUAGUCUCUUGAGUUAUUUUUUAUUUAGACAGUAAUGAGCACUAUGGUCUCCAGAGUAAAGCACAAAACAAUAACCAAACUUACCAACUUUAUAACCUUUCUGGUUUUCAGUUAGCUCCCCCUUUUUUUCAGGACUGGAUUCAGCACCAAUCAGAAUUCUUUCCCUGUUUCUGACGUGCCAACUGUCUAUUUAUAAUUUUUACCAAAUAUCCCAUAAUCUCUUGCCUAACAGCAGUUCCUGAGUAAACCUUGAAAUGGAGAGACUGUGACUCAACGUCUGAUCCUGUUGUUACUUAACCAAGAUCCCCUCCCUUUGUUUCACCUGAGAGCCCUGAUGCACAAUGCUGAUUUGUGUAGUUUUAUAGCUCCAACAGACACAUACAAUCAGCAAACACAUAAAACCAUUAGCAUUUCAACACAAUGUAACAAGCAUGCAGGUUAAAAAUCUCAUUACUGAAAUUCACAGAGGUUCCUGCUGCCUGGGUAAUGUAGUAAGCAUGCUCAAAAGGAAGAUAAUCCUGCAGUUUAAGGCCAAAAUACCCUAAAGUUAUCUAGAGCUGAAAUGUUACUUUUGUCAGCUUCUAACAAUAUAUCUAUUUUAUUUUAGAUAAUUGGAUUUUUAACUAUGUGUGGCUGAGUUGUGUCUCUCUUAGGAAAGACAAUCUGAUCCAAACCUUGAUGGAUUCAGAGGUUUUGUUAAAAUUCAGAACAUUAUGAUACAGGUCAGUAUGAAUUGAUUUCACCUGACUGAAUGAAGUCGUUUUUAGGGCUACUUAUGAUGUCAUGACUGAAAAAUGAUAGAUGAUAUGUCUUCCCAAAUAACAUGUCCUUGAGAGUAUUACUUCUUAAAGAGACAACGAUCAGAAUCUCUGUGCUAAAGUGAUCAUAAAUAGGCUGAAGUCUUUAUUAUGCAUCCAAAAACACAGACAUGUCAUUGGGUUUUUCCUUGCAUCUACUCUCAUGGGCUUUGCAAAGGCCCGCUAGCACUUAAAAUGAAGUAAUUAUUUCCCCCAGUGACAACAUAACUAAAGCUAAUUAAACUAAAAAGUGGAUAAAAUUUUCACUGGAGCACAUUGUGUCACAUCUAACAUAAGAGCAAUGCUGUUGUGUUAAAAUCACUAUCAUGAAAACAACUCAAGACGUCAUCAUUUUUCUCUUCUUUUAAUUCCUCUAUCACAUAUGGCUAACAUAUGGCAGGCAUUCGCAGUUAUUGCCACUUGCUUGUCAUUUCAAGCUUCAUGUUGAACUUCAUUUUUUGUUUUAAAAACGUCUCUGUCACACUCUGAAAUGCUGUCUUUCUUUGUAUCUUGUAACCCGGAUUUAACGAGACAGAAAACCAUCACUCCAAAUGAAGCAGCAGGGUUGUUAACCUUAGCAACAAAAUAGGCCGUAGGUGUCUUGAUAAACAUUGUCAUUGCUGGUUUUGCCAGGCCAAGUGUUUAAAUUAGGGGGGCUACUUGUGCUGCUGUUUGAUAGUGCUAGCAUUGUUGAAUAAGGUUUUAUCAUAGGGCCUUAUCAAAUGUUUGUCUUUAGCUGAUGCACAUAACCACUUGUGUACAGACUGAACUCACCUUCCUUUCACUGUCAACAACACUGGAUUUCUAAAGAGGAGACUGAGGGUCACUUCACAGAUCUUAGACAUUGUUGUAUCUCACUCUGCUUUUCACUGAAGUUUAGAAGUCUUGAGUAUUGCAAGAUUGAAGAUGCAGCCGGCACAUUAUCAACACAAAACACAGCAAAAUCUCAGUUAACCAGAUCACAUCUUUGAAACUGAGCCACCAAAACACAUGUCUUUCUUUACUGAUCCAGGCUUGGCCAGUUCACUGGGACCUACAGUGUUGGCAUUGGUCACCAAUUCAGGAUAGUGAAUCUUUAAACCUCUAAUACAUCAGAUUUUUGUGCUUGUUGGAGCCUAUUGAUUCUUUGUAUAGUUAUUUGAAUUAUUUGGAAAUGCUAAGGGUAAUGAUUAUUGUGAAUGAAUUAUUAUUCAUUUAUUUGCUGUUCAUGUCCCUCCUCCUGGCUAGGCCUACCUCCUCUUGCGAUCAGGGAGUGAGGACAGCUGGUUUCUUUUGUUUUUUGCUUGGUGCUGAAGGAGUGAGGCAAGUGAGGAGUGAAACAGUUUAUUUACCGCUAAAUUAUGUUUUUUAUUGUGGUUGUUGUUUGAAGUCAACCCGGAGAAUAUUUUUGUUCGCUUAAAUAAAUUCAACAUCCCUUUUGUCAAACUGAUACACGUCUGCGAGUGCUUAUUAUUUAGCGAGUCGGAGACCUCCUCCUCACAAACUACUCUGAUGUUUCUGACCUCUUUGUUAAACUCAAGAGUAGCCGUAACAGUGCUGCUCUCCAUGAUUUCCAGUAGAGGAGAACUCUUAACUCGCAGAAAAACUACAAAUAUUGCCAUGUGCGGUUUUGAUCAUUUUAUCGAUUGUAGAUAGAUAGAUAGAUGUACUUUAUUGAUCCGAAACUGGGAAAUUGUUUGUGUGUACGUUGAUUUAUUUUCUCACUUUUAAAGUUAAAACUCCUUUAGUAUAACUCCUAUUUUACUAUAACAAAGAAAACUGUGAUCAUAUCAAACUUGUUUCAAACUGCACAAAGAAAACUUUUCACACAGGUAUUAACAGGAACAGCGAAGAAAUGCAAGUUCCCUUUUCUUUAAAAAGACAACAUUGCCCAGAGACAGAGGGAGAAAUCAAAGCUAAUUGAGGGUUGAGUCUAAAACAAGGAUGCUAAAUCAGUCCUGUUUUAAGAUUUAAUUAAGCAAAUAGUGCCCUCUGUGCACUGUCACCAAAAGCCUCAAUAAGAGGGUAAUUGGGGUACAUACCUAGCGUACCAAAACAAUUGGGUAAAUGUGUUAUUUAUAUCCUUUAUCCUAUUUGCUGGUGAGUUUCAUGCUUAGUCAGUUUCUCUUUUCAUCCUAUGUGGAACAUCGUAGUCAUGAUUGGAUUUACAAAUGUCCCCCCAGAGCACAGAGCAGAAAUAAAACUUGUUGUGUGAUGGAAAUGCUCCGUUUUCGCAGCACUCUACACCUUGCACAGUGGGACAGCGCAGGCAGAUAUCAUCAUGGAGGAUGAUAUGCUUCAUGAUCCUGGUCCGUCUUCAGGCAGAUUUUCUCCCGAGCCGGUGGAGUGGAACUGAAGUUCUCAAGCACAAGUUAAGUAACAGACACACAGCUCAUUAAGAAAGGCUCUAUCACACCCCACUGCUCAAACAUCUCUGGCACAGUUCUCUGCCGUACUAACACACACUCACACACAACCAAAAUUGUAAUCUUGUUUCAUCACUCUUGUUUCCCUCUCUCUCUCUCCUUCUCUCCUUCUCUACCUCCCUCUCGUUUUUUGCUUUUACCAUCUGCAACUGCAAUGUGGGGGCAUGUGUGACGUUUAGUUUACUGCUGGGACGCUGCUUCCCUCAUGUGAUGUUUCAUAUAUUUUGAUCUUCAUUAUUCAAAAUUGGAUCCCCUACAGCUGCUCUUAUCCUUCAUCUUCCCCCCCAAGUGAAUGCUGGGAUUUAGAGACAAACUGGGAGAGGAAAUCAGGAGAAAGCGAGACCGAAUUAGAUCCUUUGAACUCAGAGUGUGGUGAGCCUCUGGUUGAGCUGAUAAAGCAACAUAAUAACAAUGAAAAAAGGUAAAAAUUUUGCACAUUUAUCAUCAGUACUGCCUGUUUAAUAGAAAAGUAUAAAAACAUUUUGGGAGCUCAUCAAAAACAGAGGCUUGUUAGUGGGCUGAACAACAUUAUUUAGGAUGUAUACAAACGCAAACUUUGGAAAACUAAAAUUAUACAAACUCUGAAGUCACAAACGAUUUCUAAAACUACAACUCCUGUUGAAGGUGGAGUGGGCAGGAUCCCAUUAAAGAAGCAUCUUUUUUUGUGGAGUAUAUACAAAAAGCUUUUAAUAUCAGUCUAUAGUUAUUAGUUAUUGAUGACAUUUGGUAAUGUAAUGGUAUCGUUGUGUUUUGUUAUGUCAGUGUAGUCAACAUUUUUAAUUUUUUGAGCGGCCCGCUUUUUCUGACUAUAAACAAAGCGAUUCUCCGCCUCCCCUGACCUGAUUGGUUGUGAGGCAGACGCUUGACCCUCCGUGUCGUUCACGAGCCUAAACAAAGUUAGCGUGCUACUGUAUCGGACAGUAGAAACCAACCAGAAAGUACAUAAAAUUGUCUGAAUCCUCCUUUGGCCAGGACUGCCAACACAAGCAAGAAAAUGAAGUAAAUACUGGAGACUCUGGCGGAAUCAUCAUUGAAGCAUAAAUGCUUCGGGAUCUUACGGACUCUGUAACCUUUCUGCUGGACAGGUAAACCGCUUUAACAAAGUAAGCAAAGUGUUUGUAACAGAAGUGUUUCUUGUCAAACGGGACCUGCUGCGUGUUGUAGCACCGCUAAACUGUUUACCUCAGGUCCUUGAGUAUGUCAUCUUAUCCUAGUUGUAGAAGUCCUACAAACAUUGUGUUUGCUGGCAGUCUGUUGGCAUCUACAGUAACACCAAUGCUUUUUACUUUCACAUUGACUGGGCCCCAUUUGUAAUUAUGUGAAGUAUUUAUCUGCAUUAUACCUGAAUUCAGUUGGAACGAUACGAGCGAGCA